rnacentral:rRNA from 1 species
CAGUCGCCACGGGAAUACGUAGGUGGCAAGCGUUGUCCGGAAUUAUUGGGCGUAAAGGGCUCGCAGGCGGUUUCUUAAGUCUGAUGUGAAAGCCCCCGGCUCAACCGGGGAGGGUCAUUGGAAACUGGGAAACUUGAGUGCAGAAGAGGAGAGUGGAAUUCCACGUGUAGCGGUGAAAUGCGUAGAGAUGUGGAGGAACACCAGUGGCGAAGGCGACUCUCUGGUCUGUAACUGACGCUGAGGAGCGAAAGCGUGGGGAGCGAACAGGAUUAGAUACCCCUGUAGUCCCUGUCUCUUAUAA